rnacentral:rRNA from 1 species
AUUGAACGCUGGCGGCAGGCCUAACACAUGCAAGUCGAGCGAGCGGCGGACGGGUGAGUAAUGUGUGGGAAACUGCCUGAUGGAGGGGGAUAACUACUGGAAACGGUAGCUAAUACCGCAUACCAUCAGAUGUGCGCAGAUGGGAUUAGCUAGUGGGUGGGGUAACGGCUCACCUAGGCGACGAUCCCUAGCUGGUCUGCGAGGAUGACCAGCCACACGGGAACUGAGACACGGUCCAGACUCAUACGGGAGGCAGCAGGGGGGAAUAGGGAACAAGGGGCGGAAGCCGGAUGCAGCCAUGCCGCGUGGGUGAAGAAGGCCUUCGGGUUGUAAAGCACUUUCAGCGGGGAGGCGUUACCCGCAGAAGAAGCACCGGCUAACUCCGUGCCAGCAGCCGCGGUAAUAC